GGGGCUGAACCAGCUACCUAAACCAGAUUCAAGAACCAAUGAACCUCUCCCUGAAUCCGCUGAUGCUUAUCAGAAAAUAGAGAUGGAGAAAGCAAAGCAGGACGAUGGGCUUGCAGAUCUAAGUGAUCUACUCGGCGAACUCAAGAACAUGGCUAUUGAUAUGGGAACUGAAAUCGAAAGG